CCAGCUGGUUGUACACUGAGCGUACCCUCCUCUCAGGGUUAGUAUAGGUUAUGCUGGAUUUAGAUUGUAUUUGCUAACUGAAGGUGCUCAGCACUGGGAUGGAGUCUUGCAUGGUCAGGCACUUCACACCUAAUCCUAAAAUUAACUCAAGCCAGUUUUGAUGCCCCAGAACUAGUAGCUGAUGGCUGCUUGGACUGCAUCAUGAACUUUCAGAUUAUUUUGUUUGGGCAAGACGUUUUAUGAACAGCGCCUUUAGCACUUACUAGCUUUUUUGGUAUCUGUAUCUACCACUAGUAGUAUCUACUACAUUAGUGACAUUUUCUAAACUGCUAUUCAGCUGUCAGCAUCCUACUGUGCAGCACAGUUUCUCCUGGUUGACAUUGCCCAGUUGCUGGCAAGUUGCUCAAAGCCCUUUCCUGAAAUGAUAUUCCAGAAGCUCUGAAGCAAGACCCUUCAUAAUCAGUAGAAACUACCUUUUCAUACAAAGCUUGAGGCAGCACAGUAUUAAGUGGUAUGAGGGAGAGCCUGGGAGCUGGACUGCCAUAGGCCUGCUGUGCAGUAUACCUAGUGGCUGCAUGAACAACUGUGUGUGAUAAAACCAUUAGCCAGAGGAAAAAGUAGGAAGGUCCAUAAGACAGCAGCCAAGUGAAUGUUUCUCACUUCAUUUGACAUUCAUUUGCUUAUUCUGCCAGCAAGACCAGAUCCCACAGGCAUGCUCAGAUCACUCCUAACAUCUGUGGCCUGCCAGCUCACAUGGCAAAAGGUCUGGACACAAGCCAACAGUGGGUGGAAGAACAGGGUGUUGGUACAAAAGGCAGUGGGAGGAAUAAAGAAAUAGGGCAAAAGUUAGAGAUAGGGAAUGCAAGUACAGGAUGGGAAAACAAACUGGCAGUAGCUAACCAGUCUUUAAUGCAGAUGUAAGGAAGGUAUUUAUAGGUUAAGACUUCAAGAACAGGCAGGUGCCAUUUCAGAUCCAUCAGCCAGUUAUACUGAGUCGGUUGCUUAGGUGUCUGACAACUUUACUCUUUGCCCCACGCUUUACCUUUCACUCUUCAUGAGUGUGCUGUGCUAGCUGGCUGCUUGCUGAAACACUUCUUCUGUAGGUUCUAAUCUUCCCUUUCACUGUAGGGAAGUCUGAUUGCUUAGCUCAGGGCUAUAAAAUCUAUUUGUCAUAGGAUUUUAAGUGUUUCAGAGUAACAUGGAACAGUACUUAGCCCAGCUUCUCAAAGGUAUUUCAGUGCUAACUACCAUUGUUUCCAACUGAACAGUUAAAUAACAUUCAGGAUCUGUAGGUUGUGGGCAGCAGUUAUAAAGAUUUUCACAGUACCUGCCAUCUAAUACCUACCACCCAUAUAAAUGAUAUCAUUAAAGAAUGGCAAUUAUCUCCAAUCUUUUUGAAGUCCUAUGCUAUUUGGUCUUUUCCUUUCGUUUAAGGCAUCAGCUUCUACAAUCAUGAAAAGUGUAACUGUCAUUAAAAAACAAACAAAUAUUAAAACCCAUUUCCAGCUGAUAGGCUGGGAAGAACUGUGGAAAUCUUAAAAAACAAAAGGCAACUAAAAAUAAUCCUAAAUUUAUUUUUUAAGAAGAUCCACCAAUUUUGGAUGCAAUCUCAAGAUCUAAGGAUGUGGGGAGAAGAGACUUACUCCUGAGUUUCUGAUUGGUAGUACACAUAACAGGUUUUCCUAGCCCUUUCUGAGAUGGAUGCUACCUGCUCCUUAUCAUCAUCAUUUCCACACACUCCUGCCUCCUCUGUCUAGCCAUCAGCUUUAGGUCUUCAGGUCCCCUUCCUUAAAUCUCUUUUUUUAAUACCUUUUUUCUCAGGUAGACAUGUAGCCAUGCUUCAUAUAAGUGUGGCAUUCCCUAAAAGCCAUAAAAUUUAUAAAGCAAUUCCUAGGAGCUUGAGAAUGCUGAAAAUUGCUGCUUCAAGUCACUUAAGAGAUCCCUGUUCUAAAUUAUGCUUGGUAUCAAGGUUCUGAUUUCACUGGCUGAAUAGCUGCCACCAGAAUAGGAGUUUUACUGUUAGCCCCAUAUUUCUUCCACUUCGCUUACAUUAUCUUCUAAGUCCCUUAUGUCAUCUACUGAUCACACACCCUCAGAGUAGGUUCAGCUGGCUAAUAUAUUGGCAAGUUAAUCCUCCAAAGGAAAAUAAGAUCCACAUUUUUUUUCCAGCAGAACCAUACAAAACCACAUGAUCACUAGAUCUGUCAGUAGAAACCAGUAGUUCAUGAGACCUGGGUUUGGAGAAAGGGUUCCACCCCUUCUGGCAGUGGUUUUCCCUUAGAUCAGCAUGAGGCACAACCAUACCUCCCAACCAGUGAGGAACAUACCAGGCACUCAGUCAGCCCAUGUUCUGCGGCUGCCAGUAGUCACAGAAGUGGAACAUAAAUCACCCUUUGCCCUUGACUGCUUCCCUCAUUGCAGCCACACCUACUAGCUACAGCAGACUUUGGCCCAGGGAAUCUACAUUUCUUCCUAGAGAAAAGUUUCUAAUUCUCAGAGUUAGAAGUUCUAGAAGAGCCUUCUCACAUGGAGGCAAAAAGAACAGGUCUAACAAUUUUUAAUACAGAACUUAAACAAAUUUCUGAAGGGCAGUAUAUGAUGUGGCUGCUUAUGAUAGCAAUGGAUGUUGUUGACUCAAAGGAGUCCUUUCUAAUCUGCAGUUGUUUUUAGUAGUGAUUCUUGUUUUCCUUCCCUGUGCAUUUUACCUAAAUAAUUUCCCAUCACAAGGGUGGCAAAGUCUAAGCCUGAUGCGUGGCCUGCAGUGACAUCAAAAGCAGCAGUCCUGGCCCUUCCCUUCCCCCCUCUGCUCAACUCUGCUUCUGUGUCACUUCUUUGUGCUUGUGCGUGUGUCCAUUGCCUCGCAAUGACUGGGCAGAAGGGAUCAGGCAAAUUGCACAGCUCAGGAGGGAAAGAAGCAUGAAGCCUGGAUAGGUGAGCUUUGGGACUUGCUUUGGGACUUUCAGCAGCAGCAAGCUUUUAGAUCAGCUCAGCUGUCUUGGGAAACUUCAUCUUGAGAUGGCACAAAUUAACGAAAGCUAUUGGUAUUUCACCUAAGUAAAGGCUGCAAGUGAAAUUCUGGCACCACUGGAUGGAACAGCAGAGUUCCCACUGAAUUCAAAGAGAGAUUACUACUCCAAUAACAGAAGCAGCAAAAUAGGAGGUGUGUCAACACCUCAGUUUCUCCAGUUUACUGUUAGGAAAUCAACUGCAUCAAAGAGCUUAAGCUAAUGUGCUGAAGAUGAACUGAAGUGAGUAGAAAAAGGUAACUUGGAUUCCUUUACAACAGCUUCAGAAACAAGAGACUACAGAGAGGCUAUACCCAAGAUAGCUGAUAAACUGCAAGAGGCAUGGACUUGAUUAAACAGCUCUGCUCCAGACAGAUGCAUUAUGGGUCAGAGGAAGAUGGAAUUAUGGAAGAUACGGAAAGUUGAGCAAUUAUUGACUGGCAGAUAGACGAGGCCUUAACAGCACUUGGAAAACUAUUUUAGUUCUGAAGUACAUAUAAUACAGACCAGUUCUUCAACUCUACUUUUUUUCCAGUUCACACACUGAAUUCACCUACAUUAGUAAGUUUUGUCAUUAUGGGAAUUUGUCAUCUGUGGGCAUAAGUUCCAAUCCAGCAUGCUUAGAAAACAUAAAAUACUGAUCCCAAUUUUAUCAGAAUUCAUAUAUAAUUUCUAUGUCCAAAACCCUCCCCUGAGUACAGAGAAAAUAGGAAAGGAAGAGAAUAGAUAGGGGGAAAAAAAAGCAUCAAACUAGAGUAGAUGCAUAAGGAGACAAAAUAAAAAGCUUAUUAAAAAUCACAGUCUUACAUAUGGAACCUAUCAAACAAUAGUCAAUAUUGGAAAAUAUUAAUUUAUUGAGAUAGACAGAAAAGAAUCAAUUUCCCAAACAAAAAAUAUCACUUACAUGAAAGACUGAAAUAUUCUGAUACAGUAAAUUUCAAUCUCAAGAUGAUUUGAACUGGUAUUUUAAAGUAUUUAAAUUAAUAUGAAUUAGUUUAAAUGAAGCCAAAACUACCCAAAUAAAAAUUCAAUUGAAGGUGGAAAGUAUUUGUUCUAAUACCUAAAUCAAUCUUGUUCUUAGGUGAAAAAUCUGAAGUUUUACUGGUCAUAAAAGUUCAUGCAGGAACACGCUUGCUAUUAAGCCAUCGGACUUUAACCUGGAAAAGAUAUUCUGAGUGAUGCAAAGGCAAUAAGAUCAAUGGGAAGAAAGCCAAAAUUAAGGCACAAUAUCAAUUGGAUUGAGGAAAACAGAAUCCAAGUAGACUCCAUCAGUAUAAAAUAAAUUAAAAAAAUGAUUCAAGAGAGACGGGAUCAUGCUCCAGAAGCAAUCUUUGUAACAAUAUACUAAAUAAUCUCAUAAUGCAAGUUUUUCAUAAAAAUCUAAUGACAUUUCCUCA